AUUAGUCAAGGAUAGAACGGGCAGCUAUCACGCCUACCAACCAAAGUAGGUCUUAAAGAGAUGCAGGGGUGCCAACCUGCUGAUUAAU
ncrna:unclassified sequences skipping-rope RNA